AUUGAACGCUGGCGGAAUGCUUUACACAUGCAAGUCGAACGGCAGCACGGACUUCGGUCUGGUGGCGAGUGGCGAACGGGUGAGUAAUGUAUCGGAACGUGCCCAGUCGUGGGGGAUAACGUAGUGAAAAUUACGCUAAUACCGCAUACGAUCUAUGGAUGAAAGCGGGGGAUCGCAAGACCUCGCGCGAUUGGAGCGGCCGAUAUCCGAUUAGGUAGUUGGUGGGGUAAAGGCCCACCACGCCAACGAUCUGUAGCUGGUCUGAGAGGACGACCAGCCACACUGGAACUGAGACACGGUCCAGACUCCUACGGGAGGCAGCAGUGGGGAAUGUUGGACAAUGGGCGAAAGCCUGAUCCAGCCAUUCCGCGUGCAGGAUGAAGGCCCUCGGGUUGUAAACUGCUUUUGUACAGAACGAAAAGGUUUCUACUAAUACUAGGAGCUCACGACGGUACUGUAAGAAUAAGCACCGGCUAACUACGUGCCAGCCGCCGCGGUAA
rnacentral:rRNA from 1 species